rnacentral:rRNA from 1 species
GUGUUAUUCGGAAUGAUUGGGCGUAAAGAGUCUGUAGGCCGUAUAGAAAGUCUUUUGUUAAAUGCCUCGGCUCAACCGAGAUCCAGCAAAGGAAACUUCUAUACUUGAGGGAAGUAGAGGUACAGGGAAUUCCCGGUGGAGCGGUGAAAUGCGUAGAUAUCGGGAGGAACACCAAUAUGGCGAAGGCACUGUACUGGGCUUUUCCUGACGCUGAGAGACGAAAGCUAAAGGAGUGAUUAGGAUUAGAUACCCUAGUAAUUUUAGCCGUAAACGAUGGAAACUCACUGCCGAGCGAAAUACAACGAGCGGUGGUCAAGCUAACGCGUGAAGUUUCCCGCCUGGGGAUUACGCUUGCAAAAGUGAAACUCAAAGGGAUUGACGGGGACCCGCACAAGCGGUGGAGUAUGUGGUUUAAUUCGAUGCAACACGGAGAACCUUACCAGGGUUUGAAAUCAUUUCAAAACUCCUUGAAAGAGGAGCCUCCUUCGGGAUGAAAUGACAGGUGGUGCAUGGCUGUCGUCAGCUCGUGUUGUGAAAUGUCGAGUUAAGUCUCGUAACGAGCGCAACCCAUGUCUCUUGUUGCUCACUGAGUGCUUAAGAGAGACUGCCGACCAACAUCGGAGGAAGGUGUGGAUGAUGUCAAGUCAGCAUGCCCCUUACAUCCUGGGCUACACACGUACUACAAUGGUAAGGACAAUGAGCUGCGAUCCUGCGAAGGCUAGCCAU